AGUUCUCUCCUCCCUACGGUGUCAGUUGGCUACUUUAGCCUUCACCACCCAGCGCAUGCUGCUUGGUAAUCACUGAGUUGGCUGGACUGUCUUCUCUGGGCUGAAGUCAACAGGGAGCAGGACUGUAUACUCUUGCAUUUGAGGAUUUAACCUACUGGCAGAAAGUUCACAGUGAGUCACCUCACCAGCUAGGGAGCCUAGUCAACCACCUUGCAUCUGGUCAGAACUUUGACGUUAUCCAGGAUGGCAUGGGUCUAGCCAUAAAACCACCUUUCCCAGUCUGUUUGGCAGAUGGAAGUCUAUGUGACAGUUGUUGCCAUUAAAAUAAAAGCCACAGAUAUGGGAAUGUGGUCAUGAUGGCUGAGGAUAGAGGUGGAACAGGUGCCAUGCUGCUAUCACAAGACGGAGACCACAUACUCUAAGAAUGCUGAACAGAAAAAUAAAAGGAGUCUGAGUCCCUGAUGACAUAAUAGAGCUACCAUAACCACCAUGGAUAUUGUCUAGGUGCUUUGUAAUAUAAAAAGAGUAAACCCUCUAAUUGGUUCAAC
rnacentral:lncRNA from 10 species